AGGAUCAUUACCGAACUGCCAACACGAGUUGUUGCUGGUCCUCAAAUGGGGGCAUGUGCACACUCUGUUCGCACAUCCACUCACACCUGUGCACCCUCCGUAGUUCUGCAGCCUGGGGGCUCUGUCCCUAUACUGUGGUUCUAUGUAUUUACACACACACACUGUAAUAAAGUCUUAUGGAAUGUAUGCCGCGUUUAACGCAAUACAAUACAACUUUCAGCAACGGAUCUCUUGGCUCUCGCAUCGAUGAAGAACGCAGCGAAAUGCGAUAAGUAAUGUGAAUUGCAGAAUUCAGUGAAUCAUCGAAUCUUUGAACGCACCUUGCGCCCUUUGGCUAUUCCGAAGGGCAUGCCUGUUUGAGUAUCAUGAACACCUCAACUCUCAUGGCUUGCCAUGAUGAGCUUGGACUCUGGGGGUCUUGCUGGCCUGUGGCCAGCUCCUCUCAAAUGGAUUAGCUUGCCAGUGUUUGGUGGCAUCACAGGUGUGAUAACUAUCUACGCUUGUGGUUUUCCACCAGGUAACCUUCAGCAAUGAAGGUUCACUGGGGCUUACAAAAGUCUCUCCUUGGUGAGGACAGCUCUUUGAACGUUUGAUCUCAAAUCAGGUAGGACUACCCGCUGAACUUAAGCAUAUCAAUAAGCGGAGGAAAAGAAACUAACAAGGAUUCCCCUAGUAACUGCGAGUGAAGCGGGAAGAGCUCAAAUUUAAAAUCUGACGUGCCUCUGGUCGUCCGAGUUGUAGUCUGGAGAAGCGUUUUCCGUGUUGGACCGUGUAUAAGUCUCUUGGAACAGGGCGUCAUA
rnacentral:rRNA from 1 species